AAACCAUGAUGAGGACACUCUAAAGAAGGUCUUUCAAACGUUCCAUGCAUCGAGAGAACGAUUCAUUUGGUUGCUGACGAAACUGGAGAAUGUUGUUCCUAAGCUU
rnacentral:snoRNA from 1 species